UGGGGAAUUUUGGACAAUGGGCGAAAGCCUGAUCCAGCAAUGCCGCGUGUGUGAAGAAGGCCUUCGGGUUGUAAAGCACUUUUGUCCGGAAAGAAAUCCUUGGCUCUAAUACAGUCGGGGGAUGACGGUACCGGAAGAAUAAGCACCGGCUAACUACGUGCCAGCAGCCGCGGUAAUACGUAGGGUGCAAGCGUUAAUCGGAAUUACUGGGCGUAAAGCGUGCGCAGGCGGUUUGCUAAGACCGAUGUGAAAUCCCCGGGCUCAACCUGGGAACUGCAUUGGUGACUGGCAGGCUAGAGUAUGGCAGAGGGGGGUAGAAUUCCACGUGUAGCAGUGAAAUGCGUAGAGAUGUGGAGGAAUACCGAUGGCGAAGGCAGCCCCCAUGGGCCAAUACUGACGCUCAUGCACGAAAGCGUGGGGAGCAAACAGGAUUCAGAUACCCUGGUAGUCCACGCCCUAAACGAUGUCAACUAGUUGUUGGGGAUUCAUUUCCUUAGUAACGUAGCUAACGCGUGAAGUUGACCGCCUGGGGAGUACGGUCGCAAGAUUAAAACUCAAAGGAAUUGACGGGGUCAUAGCUGUUUCC
rnacentral:rRNA from 1 species